GUGAAUAUAGUUCAACAGUGAAAUGACUGCCUGGCAAGCACAAGGUCCUGAGUUCAAUUCCCAGUAUACCCC
rnacentral:tRNA from 1 species